rnacentral:rRNA from 1 species
GAGUGGCGACGGGUGAGUAAUGUAUCGGAACGUGCCCAGUCGUGGGGAUAACUGCUCGAAAGAGCAGCUAAUACCGCAUACGACCUGAGGGUGAAAGCGGGGGAUCGCAAGACCUCGCGCGAUUGGAGCGGCCGAUAUCAGAUUAGGUAGUUGGUGAGGUAAAGGCUCACCAAGCCGACGAUCUGUAGCUGGUCUGAGAGGACGACCAGCCACACUGGGACUGAGACACGGCCCAGACUCCUACGGGAGGCAGCAGUGGGGAAUUUUGGACAAUGGGCGCAAGCCUGAUCCAGCCAUGCCGCGUGCGGGAAGAAGGCCUUCGGGUUGUAAACCGCUUUUGUCAGGGAAGAAAAGGUUCUGGCUAAUACCUGGGACUCAUGACGGUACCUGAAGAAUAAGCACCGGCUAACUACGUGCCAGCAGCCGCGGUAAUACGUAGGGUGCAAGCGUUAAUCGGAAUUACUGGGCGUAAAGCGUGCGCAGGCGGUUAUGCAAGACAGAGGUGAAAUCCCCGGGCUCAACCUGGGAACUGCCUUUGUGACUGCAUGGCUAGAGUACGGUAGAGGGGGAUGGAAUUCCGCGUGUAGCAGUGAAAUGCGUAGAUAUGCGGAGGAACACCGAUGGCGAAGGCAAUCCCCUGGACCUGUACUGACGCUCAUGCACGAAAGCGUGGGGAGCAAACAGGAUUAGAUAUCCUGGUAGUCCACGCCCUAAACGAUGUCAACUGGUUGUUGGGAGGGUUUCUUCUCAGUAACGUAGCUAACGCGUGAAGUUGACCGCCUGGGGAGUACGG